CGCAGAAGACAGGGGAGCACGACCGGCCACCGGUGGCGUGCUGAGAGUGCGGACGACGAGUCGCGUCGUACCGCAGACCCUCCGAACCUGCUCCGGUUAGCACCGGCGAAGGGAGUCCACAUGAGGCGUGC
rnacentral:ncRNA from 2 species